GUUAAUAGUUGAGCCUCGGUGCUGUACCAAGCUUCCUGAGGGUGAAGGCAAGCCCUUGAAGAUUUGGAUACAGUUCAUAUGGUACUGUUGCUCCUCAGAGAUUACGUGUGGAAAUUUUAACUCUAUUCUUAGUCGAGGUUUCAAGAAACUUGGAGCUUUUGUUCAUCUGUCCACCCAAGAUGUGCCCCAGUUGUAAGAGUAUGAAAUAUUAAGAAAUUGGUUUACUGGCCUUUGAAAAACUUUUACACAAUUCAGAAACUUGAAAAUGGAAGGUUUUGGAAAAUGUACUAUGUGUUUUCCCAUUUAUUUCUUGAUAAAUGUGAAGAUAACCUUCAUUGUUAUUGAUAGAUAAGGCCUAUUUCCAUAUUAACCCUUUGUCAAAAUGUAGAUCUAUGUUCCAUUUUUCCUACCUUCAAAUUUCGCAUUAUAGGUCUUAAUAUUCAGUGAGCACAGUACUAAAAAAAAAAAAAAUACCUGGAACCACCAGCUAAUGCAAACAGGGAUUCACUAAUGCUAUGUCAUAUUAACACUCCUUUUAGGAGGCAAGUGAUGUUAACCAAGAGUUUAGUAGCUCUAAGAUGUAUGUGGCCACAAGUGGUUGAGGACAUACAUAAAAAAAAAAAAAAAUAGAUAACCCAUGUGCAACAUUUGUGCCACAUCCAUUCAAUUUUGACACCACUGGUAGUCAUCCUGCCAGGAUGUCCUAUCACCUAUGCCCCAAGAGAAAGUAUUCUGCAAUGUAUGUUCGGCUGGGUGGGUGGGUGUCUGGCCAGCCUAGCUUAUGAACCCGAUAGUCAACUAGACUUUUGAACAGGUACUACACAGGUUGCAGAAUCAUCAUAUCUGCACAAGUGGAAACAUACAACCAUGGCCAAAAUGUGUAUUACUCACCUCAACUAUGCUUAUGCCUCGUAUCAACAAGCACAGUUUAGCAUUUUUUUUUUUUUGGGGGGGGGGGGGGAGGAUCCUAGGUAAUAUACACUAACUACUUAUGUGUACCUGUGCCUUAAAUGUAAUCAUUCUGUUCAAGGGAUGCCUGUCCUUCAAAAAAUAUAUACCAAGCCAACAUAAUUGCUUGAAUGACAGGCAUUCCUUUAAUAGAAUCAAGGACUAAGUAACUAUACACACAAGUACAGUUUUCAUAGUGUAAAUUACCCAAGAUAACCCAAAUAAAGCCUAAGUGCUAUACUGUGAUUGUAGAUAUAAGGCAUAUAAGCAUUACUGUGGCAAGUAGUACACAUUUUGGCUUGUUGUACAUUUCCACUUGUACAGAUAUGACGAUUCUUCAAUUUGUGUAAUACCUGUUCGAAAAUCUAGCUUACGAUCAGGUUCAUGAGUGGCUCUCUAUGAGAGAGACAGGUAGGUAGACAGCAAUAGACAAAGACAGUUACUUUUGUGGGUGGAACAGUGAGAAAAAAAAAUAGAAAACAUGCCAAGGUUCACAGGGGGUAGUGUUGAUGGUGCAGCUGUGUUGAGUGAUGGCACCAUAAUUUCAAGUGCCACUCUGGCACUGCUUCAAGGUGUUUCUUAUACUCCAGCACUUCUAAAGACAUUGCUGGGACCUAUAAAUUUGUAUAUAAAAAAUUUCUAGAUAAUAGUACGUGACUGAGGAAGGUGAACACGUUCACUUGUCAAUGUGUUUGUGACUGGUUACUUAAUACAGUGGAACCUCGGUUAUCAAUUCAUUCCAGAAAGUCUGACGAAAACAGAAGCAAAAUUUCCCAUAAGAAAUAAUGUAAAUCCAAUUAAUCUGUUCCAGACACCCAAAAAUUAACAAAAAAUACAUUUUAUAGAGAAUAACUAUAGCUUUACAUACAGAAAACAAUGAGAAAUAUAAAGGACUAAUAAAAUGGAUAAAUGAACAUUCAACAUCACUUUUACCUUUAUUGAAGACUUGUUGGCGUAUGGAAGACCCGAGGAGGAAGCGGUUAUUGGCUGGAAGGGGAAUCCCCCUCCAUAAGGAUUUCGAGUAUCAAGUCCCUAUCUGGGGUUACUUCUCUUCUUUGUCUUUUACUAGCACUGGACCCCUGUCGCAUAAAAAAAAAAAAAAAAAAUGUCCAGAGAGGUCUGUUUCUGGCAUCUCUAAGAUUUGCCUAAAAUGGGAUGAGGCACCGUCAUUGAACGUGUUGCAGCAGCUUUGUUAGGGUGAUAUUUCUCUACAAAACUUUGCAACUCACUCCACUUUGCACACAUCCUUAAUCACUGAAGAAGGCACAUUCUCCCCUCUCUUCCUCCUCCUCUGAAGCAAUUUCCUCAGCUGCAAUCUGUUGCUGUUCCAGUUGAAGGUGUUGCAGCUCUUCAGUGGUUAGCUCUUCCCUGUGGUCAUCCACCAACUCUUUCACAUCCAACCCUAAAGGACUUCCCCCAAAACCCAAUGGUGGCUUAUUUAGCAGUCGCACUCAAACAAGCACAAAAAACAAUGAUUACAAAAUGUUUCAGAUACACACAGUAAUACUCACUUGACUAGAAACAAAGCCAGACUGACUCAGAACGCAUGGGAUGCUUUGUGUGGGUGAGGGAAGGCGGACACAUUCGGUACAGCAGACCAAUGAAAACCAAGGUGAACGAAAACUGGGACAAAAUUUUGACAAGUCAUCAAAAACCAGAUUCCACUGUGUGUAAGAACAAAGAUUGCCUCUAUCACAAGAUUACUAUAAAUUGUAAUUAUCAAAACAAAAAAAAUCUGCAAGCAGCAGGACUUUGCCACAUAUCUUGAUAAUGCUAGUACUUAAAAAAAAAAAAAAAUUAAACUAUUCAGAGUGAUAGCAGUAAACACGUAGAUCUAUAUUUGGACAGUUAAAGGGUUAAUGGUGCCAAACAGGACUACAAAUUUGAACUGAUAAGAAUCCUGAAGAUUUACUCCAAAAGUCCUUAAGUUGGGUAACAUGCCAGAAUUGUCAUGCAAUAUUAAAGACAAUAGUUCGAAGAAAGAGUAAUCUCUUGGUUCAGUAAUGUUUUGUGCAAAUUUGUUCCCCAGUUAUGUUUGAGAGUUCUUGAAGCCAUAUGUACAAGAGCACUUCCUGAAACACUACCUCAAUAUCAGGAUCAUUCAAGCCAUCAUUGUUAUCCAACAUAACGUGCAAUUUAAAUGCAGACCUAUAAUAAUGUGUAGAGUACAAAACUCCAAUGUAUUCACAGUGAAUAAACAGUUAACAUUAAAUACAUUUUUCUAAAGCUUUUCAGAUGGUUUUGUAUUCUUUUCAAAUGCAUCUGCCUGCCAGUGAAUAGAUGCAUGUUCUCUUAAACUCACUCCAAUUCCCAAAAUGCACUUUUCAUCUCCAUUCCAGUAACUAGUCAGAACAGACAGCUAGGCUGUGUGUUCUGACAGUCCUUAUGGCAUAUUUAACCCCUUGACUGUCACAAUCCCCAAUCCUGAGGUGUCUCCUGGUGUCACAAAAUAUACAAAAAAAAAAUGUUUUUUUCUUAUGAAAUGAUAGAAUCUUUUCCCAAUUGUAAUGACACCAAAAGAAUGAAAUUUGAUGGAAAACUGAUGGAAUUACGCUCUCGCGAAGUUAGCAGCCUCGGCAAUAUUUACUAAUCUGAGAUUUCGCCCACAUUGAGCCCUAUUUUCAGCUAAUUCCAUUGUUCCAGUCGACCAAACUCAUAGCUAUUUCUUUAGAACUCCAUUUUUUCUAUCGAUUGAGUAUAAGAAACUGCCCAUUUACCAAUUUCAACUACCCAAUAACGUGGUCAGAAAUUUGCAAUUUGGCCAAUUUCACGAAAAUUAAUAAAAAAUAUGACAAUUUCAAAAUAGGGUCCAGAAUGAACAAUGCAGACAUUCCUGGCUCUAAAAUAACAUUUUCUUUGUUCAUCAGUCAUGUCUCCAGGCCCCUCUGAAAUUACUCUUGCUUUCUAUUUUGAAUUUUUAUUCAAACAAGAAAUAGAAGAUUUACUGUUAUGCAGACUACUGCAAUAUUGUAAUAAUUGUAUAAAUAAUGUCAACCCAUUCAUGACUGCAUAUUAGAAUGGCUACUUGGACAUUUAUUGGAAAAUGACAUCAUUUGUUUACUUUUGACCAUCGGCAAAAAUCAAACAACUCCCCUACUUUGAGCUCCAUUUCAAGGUUCUUUUCAUAGUAAAAUCAAUCAAAAUUACCUCUUUUUCUAUAAUAUGUUUUCCAUUCUAUUAAAUGAGACCAAGAAAACGAGAAUACAACCAUAAAUACUAUACUAAAAUAGACCACAAAGUCGGCAUUUUAAUUAAAAAAAAAAACGGUAGGAGUUUUUUUUUUUUCUCAUUAUGCACUGCUUACUGCAAGAUUUUUUUUAGAUGGUGCACACUGACCACACAGACCCAUUCUCUCACAUGUGGGCCUACCAGCUUUCUCCUGCUUGAUUUGAAGCCGCUAGAAUUUAUGAGUAUAUAUACAUCAAACACAGUGCUCGUAAGGCGUAUACAUACGACCUAAAUAGUCAAAGGGUUAACCCUAAACUUAUAACCAAUGGGUGGAACAUUAAGCAAAUACUCUACAGCACAAAAUCCUAUUAACCUUAUUCAAACAUCUUUUACCAUUACAUAAUAUGUCCCGAUGUUGGUAAAGGGUUUUUGAUCCAAGGAACUGGAAUUACCCUCUCCUUCCUCAGAUCAAUCCUAAUUAUCUACCACCCCAGCCUCUAAUUCCCACAGGUUUAAUACGUAAUGAUUCGAAAUGUAAUCAAAUUUAUUUUCCUUACCUCAGGGAUCCUUGACCCAAAAGAAUGGCCCUAUCUUUCCCUUCCCUUGAUCAAAUCUGAUUUCCUAAUUCCCCAUGUGCUGUAUAAGUCCCUGUGUGUUGAGCACUUCCAAUUAUAGUAUAAAUGAUCCCUCUUUUUGUACUAAAAUGUGGGUUGAAUAUUUGUUUUGAGAUUACCUGAAAGCAUUGAAACUUAGCUAUUUUAACACAUCGGCCGAUUCCCACCAAGGCGGGGUGGCCCGAAAAAGAAAAACUUUCUUCAUUCACCCCAUCACUGUCUUGUCAGAGGGGUGCUUUACACUACAGUUAUAAAACUGCAAUAUUAACACCCCUCCUUCAGAGUGUAGACACUGUACUUCCCAUCUCCAGGCAAAGUCCAGCCUGCUGGUUUCCCUGAAUCCCUUCAUAAAUGUUGCUUUUUCUCACACUUUCAACAGUAUGUCAAGUAUUAAAAAACCAUUUGUCUCCAUUCACUCCUAUCAAAUACGCUCACGUACACUUGCUUGGAAAUCCAAGCCCUCGCUUGGACUUCCAGCAAGCUUCAAUAAUUACAACUUAAUCUCAACAAUCCCCCCUAAAAAAUGAAAACCUGAUAUUAAGCAUAUGUGCACCAUAGUUUGUGUAAUUUCAUGAAUAUUGAAAUGCUACAUGCAAUAGCCUCCUGAAA